GUAGAGAGGCCGAGUGCUAAGGUGGCAGGCUGUAGUCCUGUUUACAUGGGUUUAAAUCCUGUUUCUAUCA
rnacentral:tRNA from 1 species